UAGAUACCCUAUUAUACUAAGGUUAUAUAUGGAAUACUGGAAUAUUAAUAGUUAUGUUCUUUAAAUUUAAAGAAGUUGGCGGUAAUUUAGUCUUUUUAGAGGAAUCUGUUCUUAGUCGAUAAACCACGAAGGAUCUUACUUGAGUAUUUAAAGCUUGUAUACCGUCAUUAUUAGAUGAUUUUGAUAAAAUUAAUUGUUGAUUUUAAUUUCUUGAUUAAAAAAAUUAGAUCAAGGUGCAGCAAUAAGCAAGUAAAAAUGGAUUACAAUAAAUAUUUAUUUAUAUGGAUUAAUUUAUGUAAAGGAGUUAUGAAAGAGGAUUUAAUUGUAUUACGGGUUUAAUAAGACUGUAAGAUAUAGGCUCUAAAUUAUGUACAUAUCGCCCGU
rnacentral:rRNA from 1 species